UGGGGAAUAUUGGACAAUGGGCGCAAGCCUGAUCCAGCCAUGCCGCGUGAGUGAUGAAGGCCCUAGGGUUGUAAAGCUCUUUCACCGGUGAAGAUAAUGACGGUAACCGGAGAAGAAGCCCCGGCUAACUUCGUGCCAGCAGCCGCGGUAAUACGAAGGGGGCUAGCGUUGUUCGGAUUUACUGGGCGUAAAGCGCACGUAGGCGGACUUUUAAGUCAGGGGUGAAAUCCCGGGGCUCAACCCCGGAACUGCCUUUGAUACUGGAAGUCUUGAGUAUGGUAGAGGUGAGUGGAAUUCCGAGUGUAGAGGUGAAAUUCGUAGAUAUUCGGAGGAACACCAGUGGCGAAGGCGGCUCACUGAACCAUUACUGACGCUGAGGUGCGAAAGCGUGGGGAGCAAACAGG
rnacentral:rRNA from 1 species